rnacentral:rRNA from 1 species
AACACGAGCCAAGGAGUCGCAGUAGCAUGCGAGUUUUAAGGUGUGUAAAACCUUGAGGCGUAGCGAAAGCGAGUGUUCUGACAUGAACCGUCUGCCGUAUGUAUGAUACGGACGGAACAAGCAUGAUGCCGCGGACCCGAAAGAAGGUGAUCUUUACUUGACCAGGAUGAAGCCCUUGGAAACGGGGGUGGAAGUCCGAACACGUUCUGACGUGCAAAUCGAUGUGCAGAGUUGAGUAAAGGGGCGAAAGACUAAUCGAACCUUCGAGUAACUGGUUCUCUUCGAAAUUUCCCUUAGGAUAGCAAGCAUAUGAUAGUAAACAGUGUAACCAGGUAAAGCGAAUGAUUAGAGGUCACGGGGAUAUUUGGUUCUCGUCCUAUUCUCAAACUUUAAAUGGGUUAGAUCCCAACCCUGCCUAAUAGAGGGUUGAGGUUGCAUGAAUAUGUGCUUAGUGGGCCCAACGGAGUAAGUUUGUUGGGCGAUGUGGGAUAAACCAAACGUGUAUUUAAGGUGCCAAAAUAACGGCUCAUUAGAUCUCAAAAAGUGUGAAAGACUAUAGACAAUCCUAAUGUGACCAUGGAGGUUGGGAUCGUCUAAGGAGUGUGUAACAACUCAUGGAUCGAAGUCUUUUGCCUUGAAAAUGGAUGGCGCUUAAGCCGUUUACCUAUAAUACACCAACGACAUAAGAUGUGUAUGUGUCGUUGAGUAGAAGAGCGUGGAGGUGCCGUGGAAGGGUUGUGGUGACACAAUUUGGAGGCGCCUCUAGUGCAGAUCUUGGCGCUAGUAGCAAUUACUUAGAUGAGACAUCUAAGGGCCGAAGUGGAACAGGGUUUCGUAUGAAGCGUCUUGCGAUACGAGUAAGCCGGUCCUAAGCGCCGCCUAUUAAGGUGUUUGAGAUGUCCUGUUCGCAGGGCAGCCGCGCGAAAGGGAAUCCAGUUAACAUUCUGGAGCUAGUUUUCAUCCGCAUGUUGCAUUGUAUGAUGUGACAAUGUCGGCGACGAACCUCAAAACAGGUGACGUGCCGUCCUCCCGGUGGUAGAGUUCUCUUUUCUACUUGACAUGAGAUUUGUGGCCUGCGGAUGCUUCACGCUGCGAAGCAGGGCACACCUUGGCAAACCAUUUUCAUUUUGGAAAGUGGCACACGCGGGGGAAGGCACCCUUGAAAAGCCUGUGGCGCGUGUUUUUUGAACAAUUUGGAUGAACUAUCCGUACCCUAAUCUGCAUCAGGGUUCCUAGAUUAGUAGUCUUUGGUCUAGAAGAUAAUGUUGGUAAGGGAAGUCGGCAAAAUGGAAUCGUACCUUCGGUAGAAGGUUUGGCUCGUGAGGCAUGGAGUUGGGAGGUUGUGGUUUGAAUUGUGUGAUGCGGUGGGUUUGUGUUUGUGAGCCGUCCCUUUCCAAAAAAGUGUGAUGCGCACCGAACCUCCUACUGCGACGCCUUGGAGAGCUGCAGCUACACCUGUUCGCAGGUGGAUCCCUUCUCACUGAGAUGCUGCUCACGAACUUUGAAUGACUAAACCCACGCGACUGUUUAAUUAAAACAAAGCAAACAGCUAGUCGUAAACGAUGUGAACUGUUUGUGAUUUCUGCUCAGUGCUUUUAUGUUCCCCCAUAGGAAUAUGGUAAUGCACGAGUCAACAGCGGGAGUAACUAUGACUCUCUUAAGGUAGCCAAAUGCCUCGUCAUCUAAUUAGUGACGCGCAUGAAUGGAGUAUCGACGCGGGUACUGUCCCUAUCAACUGCUUCGCGAACUCACAGCCAAGGGAGCGGGCUUGGCGACUACAGCGGGGAAAGAAGACCCUGUUGAGCUUGACUCUAAUAUGUUCCUGUGGAAUAGCACGAGGGGUGUAGUGUAGGGGGGAGGCGCUUGCGCCGACAAUGAAACACCUCCACCUUCGCUGCCGUUCUACUUAAUCGUUAACUUAGUACGGUGUGCCCUGCUUUUAUGUAGGUGUCGCAUCAGUUUGGAGCAAAGUGUCUACCUUGUGUAGACACUGAGCUAAGGCGAUGACUGGUUGCAUUCGGGGAGUUUGGCUGGGGCGGCACAAGUCUGAAAUGAUAUCGGACUUGAUCAAUGAGCAACUCCGACACGACAGAAAUGUGUCAUAGAGCUCAAGGGUAAAAGUUGCUUUGACCCGGGCCUCCAGUGAGGGCACGGGCUGUGAAAGCAUGGCUUAGCGAUCCUUUCGACCUUUUUCGAUAAGACGAGAGGUGUCAGAAAAGUUACCACAGGGAUAACUGGCUUGUGGCCCAUAAGAGUUCAUAUCGACUGGGCUUUUUGAUUCUUCGAUGUCGGCUCUUCUUAUCCUAGCGAUGUAGCAGUCGCUAAUGGUUAGAUUGUUCACCUACAAAUAAGGAACGUGAGCUGGGUUUAGACCGUCGUGAGACAGGUUAGUUUUACCCUACUGUAAUGUGUUGUCUGAGAGUAGGCCGUGCUAGUACGAGAGGAACCCUCGGUCCAAGUAGUUGGUUGAUCCCCUGUUCGAACGGACAGUGGGGAGACGCUACGCUUGUUGGCUUACCACUGGAUGCCUCUCAAGUGAGAAACCAGACUCAAAAUGACAGCGAUUGGGGAUGAUACGAGAUGGAUGAAUAGGUUUCACAUUUGUGAGCCGAAACCAAAUAACGGGUUCAGGGUGUUGUCAUUUAUACAUGACCAUCCUACCUUGAUGUAAACGAAACGUAUUCCCCUUGUCAACUACUUGU